GUUCUCGAAGUGAACUGCAAGAAUUGGCUGCUUAAAUGAGAAGUUGUUCGCCAUAGAACUGGUGCUGGAUUCUGUUGUACCUGCUGUGUUGUUGAGGCAGUUGAAAUAAUUCGAGCAGUUAUGCCUUGUAGGCAGCGGUUGUUGUGAUCAUAAAGGCAGUGAACUUCACAAUUCUCAUUGAUUUGGGCCUGGGCUCUAGAAGCAACUUGCCGUAGGAUUAAUAGUCUGCAUGUGGAAUGAACGUAAUUUGUAUUAUAAUGAAGGUGCUUUAUUCAGGCAUUUUUUGUUGGUUGCAGUUUUGAGACGGAAUUAAAGCUGGUGGUAUUCGAGUGAAAACCGGGG
rnacentral:misc_RNA from 1 species